rnacentral:tRNA from 1 species
UGCCUUCUUAGCUCAGUUGGUAGAGCAGUAGACUCUUAAUCUAUGGGUCGCAGGUUCGAGCCCUGCAGGGGGCAUCUA